UAAUGAAGUAAAAUAAGCAAGUGUUGGAAAAAUUGUUCCACUUUUAUCAAUUGUCUCCAUAAGCAUCACCUGUAAGAGAUUAUAACGCAGGAUGAUUUCUCUCUUGCUAUAUUUAAAUGGAUAGUUGAAGUUUUUUUUUUUUUUUUACUGUGGAAAGAAGCAUGUUUGCCCUGGUUGAAGACUUUGAGGGGCGAAGGUGCUUUCUGGGUAAUAUUUUUGUUGAAUGGGUAUUUCUUUUUCAUUGAAAAAAGAAAUAUUCCCGGAAUCAAACAGAAAAACGUGUUGAGCUGUUACCCUUUCUAAUCCCACUUUCCAUUUUCAAAUUUCCAUUUUCCAAAAUCUCGCCUCCUCCCUCGUAGUUUUCUUUUAAGACACCGUUUGUUCUGAUUUUUUGUUAAAAGGGGCCUCUUCUGUACUACUCAUCCAAACAAGUCACAGUUUUUUUUCUCUCUCUAAAACAUUCACCGUAUAAGCUUUCUCCGAAUGUCACAAUGGCCUAGCGACGCCUCGCUCUGCUUUCUUCCACCACGCGUCUGUCACCGUUAUAAUUUCUCACUCCCAUUUCGGUUCUUGACAAUGAGAUCAAACUCGUAGGAGUGUACAACUGCUACUCUUUUUCUCCUCCUUUAGAUUUAUCAUUAUUAGAAAAAAAAGAAAAAAAAAGGGGGAAAUAGAGAAAGGGGCAUUGUUAUAUUUAACAUAAUUUCUGGUUAUCGGUUGGUGAGAUCAGAUAAGAAAAUGGCACCACCGUUGUUCAAUUGGGGGGUGAAGGACACCCACAGGGGAACCCCUGUGGUGGUGAAGAUGGAGAACCCAAAUUGGUCGAUGGUGGAACUGGAAGGUCCCGAAGAAGAUGACUUAAUGACACCAGCUUCUCCUACGGGUGUUUCACGAGACAAAGGAAAAGGAAGAGGCAAAAAUGCGAAACAACUCACAUGGGUUCUUCUCCUCAAAGCACACCGCGCCGCCGGCUGCCUGACCUCCCUGGCGCCGGCAUUGUGGGGGCUCGUCUCCGCCGUUAAACGCCGCGUCGCCGCCGGAAAAACUGAUGCCGACACCGACGGCGGCAGAGAGCUGGAGAACCCCACCGUGAAGACGCGUUUCUAUUCCUGCAUCAAGGUCUUUCUGUGGCUUUCCGUGUUUCUCUUGUUUUUCGAGGUUGCUGCGUACUUCAAAGGGUGGCAUUUCGUUGCGGCGGGGAUUCAGUUGGAGCACUUUCUGUGGGCACCCGCUUUUGGAGUCAAGGAUUUCUUCGUUUGGCUCUACACGAGAUGGGUUUUUUUUCGCGUGGAGUAUCUCGCUCCUCCUCUGCAGUUUCUAACCAAUGCGUGCAUCGUGCUUUUCCUUAUUCAGAGUGUGGAUAGGCUUGUUCUGUGCUUGGGGUGUUUCUGGAUCCGGUUUAAGAAGAUCAAGCCUGUCCCCAAAAGUGGGGAUGCAAUUGUAGAUCUUGAAUCUGGAGAAAGCAAGGGUUUUUCUUUUUUCCCAAUGGUUCUUGUGCAGAUCCCCAUGUGCAAUGAGAAGGAGGUUUAUCAGCAAUCGAUUGGUGCGGUGUGUAAUUUGGAUUGGCCGAAGGGGAAGUUGUUGAUUCAGGUUUUGGAUGAUUCCGAUGACCCAACGACGCAGUUGCUAAUAAAGGAGGAGGUUCAGAAGUGGCAACAAGAGGGUGCCAACAUUUUGUACCGGCAUCGCGUGAUUAGAGAUGGGUACAAGGCCGGGAAUUUGAAAUCCGCUAUGAAUUGUAGCUACAUUAACGACUAUGAGUUUGUUGCAAUCUUUGAUGCAGAUUUUCAGCCUACUCCAGAUUUUCUGAAAAAAACAGUUAUUCACUUUAAGGAUAAUGAUGAAUUGGGGCUUGUUCAAGCAAGAUGGUCCUUUGUGAACAAGGAUGAGAACCUCCUAACGAGGUUGCAGAACAUUAACCUGUCUUUUCAUUUUGAAGUAGAGCAGCAAGUGAAUGGGGUUUUCAUUAACUUCUUUGGGUUCAAUGGAACUGCUGGAGUUUGGAGGAUAAAGGCUUUGGAGGAAUCUGGUGGUUGGUUGGAGAGAACUACUGUUGAGGACAUGGACAUUGCCGUUCGAGCUCAUCUUCAUGGCUGGAAAUUCAUUUUCCUCAAUGAUGUUGAGUGCCAAUGUGAGCUACCGGAAUCUUACGAAGCUUACAGGAAACAGCAGCACAGAUGGCAUUCUGGGCCAAUGCAGUUGUUCCGCCUUUGUUUGCCUGAUAUCAUUCGGUCCAGGAUAAGUGUGUGGAAGAAAUUCAACAUGAUAUUUCUCUUCUUCCUUCUCAGAAAGCUGAUCUUACCAUUCUAUUCGUUCACCUUGUUUUGUAUAAUUCUACCUAUGACAAUGUUCGUGCCGGAGGCUGAGCUUCCUGCGUGGGUAGUGUGUUACAUCCCUGCUGCCAUGUCCUUUCUCAACAUUCUUCCGGCUCCGAAGGCCUUUCCCUUCAUUGUCCCUUAUCUCCUAUUUGAGAACACCAUGUCAGUUACCAAGUUCAAUGCCAUGAUCUCAGGCCUGUUCCAGCUAGGUAGUGCAUACGAGUGGGUGGUCACUAAGAAAUCUGGUCGUUCUUCUGAAGGUGAUUUGGCUUCAUUGAUUGAGAAAGGACCAAAGCUUCAAAGAGGGUCCUCGGCACCUGAUCUUGAGGAAAUAAAAGAGGAACUUAAAAGGCAGGAGGAGAAGACCUCUAAGAAGAAGAAAAAGCAUAACAGAAUAUAUAUGAAGGAGCUUGCUUUGGCCUUUCUACUCCUAACAGCCUCAGCAAGGAGUCUCCUCUCAGCUCAAGGGAUCCAUUUCUACUUUUUGUUAUUCCAGGGAAUAUCAUUCCUCUUGGUUGGUCUUGACUUGAUUGGUGAACAGGUGGACUGAAAAAAAAACGAAAAAAUUGACACGACUGUGUACUUUUUUACAUGCACGAAUUAUAUGGACGGAAAAGCAAAAAGGUGGGAAAGAAGCCAAGGCCUUAUGAAAUUACUGAAGGCAUGUAUUUGGGGGCAACCGGAGAGUGUAGAGGACCCAUAGUGCUGCUUUUUCUUGCUCAUGCUCCUCCCUCCGGGCUCGUAAAUCAAAUCCACCCAAUACGAUAUAAUUGUGUUAUAUUAUGGACCGAAAAGGGUUUAAUUUGGAAAUGGGUGCUGCUGUUGAGGCCAAUUCAAUGUAGAGCAAGUGGGUUUUGAUUUCUGGGGCCCUUGGAAUGUGAUGCUCGUAGCAAUUGAAGGUGGUCCUCCUCCCUCGCUUUAAAAUUUGCCUAUAGUUUGUUAUUCUCACCGCUUUUGAACAUUGAGCUGGAAAAAUUACUAGAUGUGCACCACACUGCUUUGGUGAAGAGUCUGUCUGUCCCAUUCUGUGUUUGGUGAGCGCUGCUGCCCACUGCUCUGUCCUAAAUUGAAGAUUCCAACUUUUAUUACAACUGUGCCGCUACAAAGGGAUAAUGCCCUUUUCGGCCCGAAACACUGUUCGAUAAAUGCAAUCCGAAAUAAAACCCGAACAUGUACUUAGAAAAACAGGUAGCUUAGUACAGCGGCACGUGGAUGCUUCGUUCGGUUCAUUAUAAUGGUUAGGUUCUUCUCCAAUAUGGCUCCGCUAUUCAAGCUUCUUCAAGAAUUUGGCUCAAUAGAAUUCGCUUC